GAGGAAUUUGAUCCUGGCUCAGGAUGAACGCUGGCGGCGUGCUUAACACAUGCAAGUCGAACGAUGAUCCGGUGCUUGCACCGGGGAUUAGUGGCGAACGGGUGAGUAACACGUGAGUAACCUGCCCUUGACUCUGGGAUAAGCCUGGGAAACUGGGUCUAAUACCGGAUAUGACUCCUCAUCGCAUGGUGGGGGGUGGAAAGCUUUUGCGGUUUUGGAUGGACUCGCGGCCUAUCAGCUUGUUGGUGAGGUAAUGGCUUACCAAGGCGACGACGGGUAGCCGGCCUGAGAGGGUGACCGGCCACACUGGGACUGAGACACGGCCCAGACUCCUACGGGAGGCAGCAGUGGGGAAUAUUGCACAAUGGGCGCAAGCCUGAUGCAGCGACGCCGCGUGAGGGAUGACGGCCUUCGGGUUGUAAACCUCUUUCAGUAGGGAAGAAGCGAAAGUGACG
rnacentral:rRNA from 1 species